CUCAAAGACACUGAACUCUCAGCUUCAAGGCAGAACUAAGCACAUUUGUGCAGGGAAAUCCGUGCCUCAUGCCGCUCUCCAGUCUGCUCUGGGUGCUCCUGGCCUUCACCUUCUCUGCGUCUGGUGUGGCCCAGAAAGUUACUCAAAACCAGCCAGAUGUAUCCAGCCAAGUGGGGCAGUCAGUCACCCUGAAUUGUCGGUAUGAAACAAGCUGGAGCUAUUACUACCUUGUUUGGUACAAGCAACUUCCCAGUGGACAGAUGACUUACCUUAUUCAACAGUAUUCAGGACACAGCAACGCAAGGAAUGGCCGCUACUCUGUAAACUUCCAGAGAGCAGAUAAAUCCAUCAGCCUCAUCAUUUCAUCCUUACAGCUGGAAGAUUCUGCAAAGUACUUCUGUGCUCUCCGUGACUCACAGUGCUUGAAGUAA